rnacentral:tRNA from 1 species
UAAACUGAGGCCGGAUGUUUAGGCGCUUAGCUGUUAACUAAGAUUUAGUAGGAUAAAUACCUUCCAGUUUAG